UGGGGAAUAUUGCACAAUGGGCGCAAGCCUGAUGCAGCCAUGCCGCGUGUAUGAAGAGGGCCUUCGGGUUGUAAAGUACUUUCAGCGGGGAGGAAGGGAGUAAAGUUAAUACCUUUGCUCAUUGACGUUACCCGCAGAAGAAGCACCGGCUAACUCCGUGCCAGCAGCCGCGGUAAUACGGAGGGUGCAAGCGUUAAUCGGAAUUACUGGGCGUAAAGCGCACGCAGGCGGUUUGUUAAGUCAGAUGUGAAAUCCCCGGGCUCAACCUGGGAACUGCAUCUGAUACUGGCAAGCUUGAGUCUCGUAGAGGGGGGUAGAAUUCCAGGUGUAGCGGUGAAAUGCGUAGAGAUCUGGAGGAAUACCGGUGGCGAACGCGGCCCCCUGGACGAAGACUGACGCUCAGGUGCGAAAGCGUGGGGAGCAAACAGG
rnacentral:rRNA from 1 species